AUAUCAAUAAGCGGAGGGAAAGAAACCAACAGGGAUUACCUCAGUAACGGCGAGUGAAGCGGUAACAGCUCAAAUUUGAAAUCUGGCUCACGCCCGAGUUGUAAUUUGUAGAAGAUGCUUUGGGUGUAGCUCCGGUCUAAACGGGUGGUAAAUUUCAUCUAAAGCUAAAUAUCGACGAGAGACCGAUAGCGCACAAGUA
rnacentral:rRNA from 1 species